CUGCUGCUGCUGCUCUGGAUCAUCCCAGAGCCCGGGAACCAGCCUGAGCAGUGGGGAUCUAGAACACUGCCGCCACCAGCAAUGGGUUUGGAUCCCGGACCCUUCUUGUUUCCCCUCUAACUCUCACAGCCCAUCAUGACACUCAUUCAUUCAUUCACUCACUUACCGCACAGGGUAGUACACCCAGCAUCAGCUUGGACAGGGAAUUGGGGGGUAGGGGGAGUGACAGAGAGAGGGGAGGUCGUCCAGCCCUCCGAGCUUUGGUUUGCUCCAAGUACUUCUGCCUUCACUCUUAGUCCAAAACCUCAAAAUUUCCUUUGGGACACGACAAGUUGUCUCCAGGGGAGUUUCACUGUCCCACAGCCGACAGCUCUCAGAUCCUUUGGGAUGUUAUUUCCUCCCUAAACUACACAGAGCACGGUGCAAGGAACUGGAGUCAUUGAAAGGAGCUGGGACUAAAACUGAAACAGCUGUAACAGCUGGAGGCUGGGGUUAGAGGGAGAAAUGCUACUGGCAAAUUGUAUUACGUUAAAGUCUGAGACUGUGAUUGCAUCAGUGAAGGAACUCCUGGCAUGAAAAUUCUCUUCACCUAUGUAUAUCAACAGCUACUCUUAGAAUGGUCUGGGUCAUUGAGAGAAGGACCAAGGAUCAAGAAAUAACAACAACAAGGAUUGCUAACUGACUGAGGAGAUCUCAACAGAGAAGCAUCUUGGGGCUGCUUUUUUCCAAUGGAGAAGUGAUCAAAAACUAUAAACAGAGAAUUCUCAAAGGAAAAGUUGUAUCCUAUCAACAACCAGUUGUUACAAAAUCAACAUAAAUAAGUGAAGCACAAUAAAGUGUUUCUUGGGAAACCUAGCACAUUGGUAAAGAUAGGAAAAGUAAAUGCUGGAGGCACUGUGGAAAGGCUGGCUCCAUAAUCCACUCUUGGUGAAGUUGUAAUGUUCAAUCAUUCUGGAAAACAAUUUGGAAUUUUGAAAAGAAAUAUUUUUAAAGUUUUAUUCAGUGAUCCCAUAGACAGGAAUUGGGUGGAAAUGGUCCCUUAUAUGCCAAAAUAAUCACAGUAGCACUCUGUAUAGUAGGAAUGUAACAAAAUAUUCCUGUCAUGAAAAAAUGAUGAAAGAAAAGAACACUAAGUGGAAAGAUAAUCUGAUAUAGAAUAACUAUAAGGAGAGGGAGGAAAACAAUGUAUACAAUGACUAAAAUAAUGUAAGUAGAUACAACAGCAAUGAGUUGGUUUUAUGUAGUAAAGGUACAUUUUUUUUGGUCAGGGUAGGGACUAUGGAUUUGCAAUAAUACAAAUUCUUUAGGCUUAAUUGAUGGGUGGCUGGUAUAAUUGAACUAUUCUCCCCACAUUAAAAAUGUAUUUUAUACAAUAACUUAUAAAAGGGAAGAGGUGUGGAUUUUCUUUUUAAUGAAAGUGGUAUAAAAGCAAAAUAUAUUGAUAAAAUAAUAACUUAAAAUUAUAUAUAAAACAUCCAAAGUAAUACAAAUGAAAUAAUUUAAUACAAUAUAUUAUGCUAUACCACAACAAGAUAAAGUAAUAUAACAUGAGAUAAUAUACUGGAAUAUGAUUUGAUACUCUUGCAAAAGGGUUUGUUGGGUCUCUCCACUUUCUUUUUAUUGUUCCUUUAAUGAUAUACUUAUAUCUUUUAAUUUUGUAUCCUUUUCAUUUCUAAAUGCAUUGCUCUUCUAUCCUCUGCACACUAAGUCAUUCUUUGUACUGAAGAAAGAGACAGACAGAGAAACAGAGAAACAGAGACAUGGACAAAGACACAGAAAGUGAACAUAACACACUUCAGUAAAAACUGACCAGCUUAUUAACCAUAUCUGACAGCAUAAACAAUGUUCCACACUCAUUGUCCCCUGCCUCUGUAAAAAUGAAUUCUUUCACUUUUAUUCCCCAGUUACAAAAAUCUCCUAUCAUUUAUUUCUUCCUUAGAAUAGAUGCCAGAGAGGGAAGGCUGGACUUGGUUUGAGAAGAUUUUGAGGAAACAGAAAAAGUGGGUCGUGGGAGAAAAGAAUAUUUAAUAUAAGAAAAGAAAAUGACUGAAAAAGAGACUUCUGCCUAUUGUUCUUUGGUAUGGUACCAAAGUUCUUGUGUCAUCAUCUUGUCCUUGAAUUCAUUCUCUAGAAGGAGUUGGGGUUUUAUAAUCAUAGGAUCCAGCUGAGGGGUAGAUAUUCUGAUGUUGAGGCUUCACCACAAUCUAAGAUUAUAUAUGAAAUAAAAUUAAUCUAGAAACAAAAUGGAGUCCCAUUCAUGGAGAAUGC